ACGCCUCUCGGCGGCGGUUUACCUCAGGGUUUACCUCAGCGGUCGGCUGCGGCGGGCGUGUGGGCAGGGCGAGGAUGCGUGACCGUUCGGUAGCAGGUGACACACCUGAUCGGUCACCGUGGGCCGGGAGACGGUGGCGACGGCUCCCAACCUCCUUCCGCGGCCGCGGGCCCUGCGCAGGAGGUGCCGCUCCGCCACAACAUGGCGGCUGCCGCCAAACCGGCCCGGUGCCGCAAGAAGCUGCUGGUGUGGCUCAGGGCUGCGCGUGGCCAAGUCGUAGGCAGCUCCUCUUCCCUGGGUUUAUGCUACACAUGCCAAUGAAUGCCAGAGGCCACCAGCUGCUUUCCAGGGAACACAGAGACAAGAGCAAACAGGCCCCAUGCCACAGUACUUAAGCAGGGCAGUGGAAGAAAUGAGAAAGGAAAUUCACUUUGCAGGGUCAAGAAAGGAAGACAAGAGAUGACCUUACAUGAUCACUCCUUAAAGAAAUAGAAAAGAUGAGUGCAGUGAGUGACAGACAAUAUCUGCUUCAGCAUUCCAUAAUUACCAAGCAAGGAGUGGAUGAAAAGGCAUGGAGAUAAUGCCACAGAAGAAAAGUCCUGAUAUCUCCCAAAAUUCCAUAAAAAACAAUGCUGGAAACAAAGUCAGGUGGAAAACUAAUUGUAUCUUUGGCUUCAUACAGAAGGAGAAAAAAAAUGGUUAAGAUCUUAAGGAAUGGUCUACCUCCAUCUUCUCAGGAAAAUAUCUCAGAAUCAGGAGCUGUCAUGAACAGCUACUUCAGCAGGAUGAAGUACUUAUGCUUCUCUAACAUUAUUUUUCAAUGGGACCUCAUUUUUUUCAUUGUAGCCUUCCUUCCCAGCAUGUUCCACCUUCCUCAGUCAUUUUCCUAACAUUUGUCAAUCUCCUAUCUGCUCUUUUCUAUUUUGGGCAUUUUGUUUACUUUUCCACACAUAUCUGCACUUCUAUUUUGGUACUCUUAUCUUUUGUGUGUGUUUGUGUGUGUACAGUAGACGAGGUCACAAGAAGCAAUCACAAAGACUGAUUUUGUGGCAGGGUACUGCCAUAUAGUCUGUCUUGCACUCACAAACUGAUUAUGGUAAAAUUCUUGAUCUCUCAAAAGACAAUAAUUUUCAAAACUAUGUUCCAUAUUACUUACUAUUAAGAAGCAUUACCAUCAGUAUUCAAGAUUAGCUGAAUAAAAUGUUAAUAACCUGUUCGUUCCCAUUACGUUUGACUGUUCUUUUCUUAACAUCUAUACACUGUUGGAAGUAAUUUACUAAAAUACAUGCUUUAGAAGUAGAGUAUUUAAAUAGUACUCUCUAGUUGAAGAAGAAAACUGCGUUCAAACCAAAAGCACUAGGUGAAAACAUCAUAGCUAUCACCCGCUAUUAAGUGACACAGCAAUGCUCCAAACCCAACCACGGCUAAAUUGGGCAGGAUAUGUAAAGCAUAGCAUGAAUUGUUCUGUUGCUCACCACAGCAUGUUGAAUUCAGCAAGUUAGCAGGUAUGACUCAAAAAUAAGUUCAGAUUCCCUGUAAUUUUUAUACCAAAUUCUUUCUUCUUGUAAUACGUGCUUUAAUUUGUUUAAACGUCUUUAACAUAUUUUGAUUUAGAUUUUAAGAUUCUGUAUUGCAGAGCAAAAUCUAACUCCUGCAGCAGGUGGAUCAAGCCUCCUUUUACCAGAUUGUUCACUCUUCAGCAGCACCAGGGCAGUUACAACUAUUUGAAUUGGCAUUUCCAAUGAAACUUCAUUUUGUGCCUGAAUCAUUCUUUUAAGAUAAAAGUUACAAUGCACUCAUUUUGCUAGUCAUUCUCCUGUGUUUCCAUUUAAAAAGAUUUUUCCCUUGCUUUCUGAUGCAGUUCACUGACAGCUGGUCUGAUACACUUUCCUCUUGCUUAGGUGCUGUGUCAAAAGCAGCUCUGAUAGCCUGGAUCUUCAUUUCAGCAGAACACUGUAACACUACCUAUGUAUUAUGUAUCCAGCAGCCAGCAUUUACCACUCUUACUUCCCAGAAUGGAAUUAGGUCACAGAUGGGACACACUGGGAAUUCAUAAUGCAGAAUUCAGUCUCAGCCUUAAACCCCUGACUUUGUGUCAAAUAUCAUUAAAUAGGCUCUGCUCCAAAACUCUGUCAGGAAGCACUGUUUCACAUCUUUAUAUGUCUCAACCCCAACUUCUAGUUGGGAAGUAGAAUAGGAAACUUUACUUUCCACAUAAUGUAGUAAUACAAGUGAUUGGCAUGAACAGACCAACUGAAGCCAACUGUUGACUUUGAUGGAACUACUUGACCACUUGAACUCUAAUGAUAACUGAGGAAAAAUAGGCUGAGUGCUAUUAAAAAAAAUGAAGACAUAAUCCUGCUUAUUGAAACAAUGCAGCUUUUACCAUCCAGUUUCCAAGAAUAACCUAUCUGUAAGGAAGCAACUGCAAGAGAUGUUGCACAAAUGCAUACAGCUCUUGGCAAGUAAAAGGAGAUCAUCUGGGUUCAUUUCACUUUCAUGGAAAGUCCACAGUUUUUUGCUAUUAUUUUGUCAGAGGGAGUUUUGGUAUUAAAACAACCCCAAUCCUUUCUUUAGUAAGCUGUAAUGAAAUGCUUGUGUGACCUAGCAAAAAUAAUUUCAUGUGUUCAAACCGAUUUUCCAGUGAAUAACCUUCCUGUCUAAAAAUCAGGCUCUUUACAAGGACUAACUGACAUCCUUGUUAUCAGCCUGUAUGGAUUUAAUAUGCUGAGCAGAGAGGAGCAGCUGGGAAAAGAUUGGAGAGAAUGAGCUAUAUUCAGAUACUUGGGGAGUUGGGGAGUCCACUGGGGUAAAGCACUUUAGUAGAACAGCCUGCAAAGGAUGUCACUACUCACCCCACGUCAGUUCUCUGGAAAAAGAAACAGCUCUGGCUUUUGCGUCUGUUAGUCUGGCACCUUCAGCAAGUAAUUAAAUCACACUGUAGAUUUGUAUACAUACUUAGAUAAAUAAUAAAUGACAGCUAUCACACUGUCAUGCAAGCAUGCAUGCAUACCCAGGGCAGGAAAUCACAUACAGUAUUUCAUUUGUUGCCAAUUUAUCUCUAACGAAGUGAGGAAGAUGCCCUAGGGACUGGUGACUAACAAGGAGCAUUGUUUAUGCUACAAAUCCCAUCCGGUUAUUAGUCUUUGAAAAGUGUUUUGUUUAGCUUAUCGGUGCUUCAGCAGGAAUGCCAGGGGCAUUAUUUUUGUCUAAGUGUAUUUCUAUUCCAAUAUUACUGACUCCCACUCAACCUCUCCAUAAGAGGUUAUGUGUUACUUGAGGGCUGAAAAUUAGACACAUGCUUCAACGCCUUACUGAAUCAGGGUGGUUAGCACUGCACAAAACCAAGGCCUUGACAGGUUUCCUUAUUAAUUUUGCUUCAGUAAAUUGGAGAACAUCUUUGUAGAAAUCAAGCCUUACUUAAGGACUACAGAGCAUGAGAAAGAAUAAAUACCUUGUGAAGUAUAUAUGCCCAUAAAUUAAAACUAUUUUAAUGAGUUAGAUCUGCUUAAUUUCUACACUUUGCUUGCUUUGUUGGAUGAUACUGUGUUACACAAUCCAAUUCUGCACUUCCGCAAUACUAAAGUAUCACAAGUGUCUGGCAAGUUGUGAGCCUCUUUCACAAUAGUACGACAGUUAAUCGUUUGUCCACACAAUUGAUAGGCUGCUAUUUUAUCAGGUUAUCAAAAUACCUGCAGCACGCCCUUGAUCAAGUUAAUAUUUAAAAAUAGUAAUGCAAUAUUUUUAUUACAUUCAAGUAUCUUUUUGAUCAUGCUAAAUAUCUUCUGAGUGGAAAAUUUAUUUAGGGUUGCUUUUGUUUGUUUGUUUUCCUCAGGAGACCUCUUUUUUUUUUUAAGCAGAUUUGCUUUAUUGAAGGGAACAAAAAAACCAUCUCACAGUUCCUACAUAACCUUAUUUAGAACAUUUGAGAGACUUGCCAUCGGGCAAGUAAGUUAAUAAUUGACAAAGACACACAGCAGGCCUGCAUGAAUGAUUCCACACCAUAACACUGACAGCUGGCAUAACUUACUGAGCUCCUCAAACAUUUCUGCAAAGAGGAAUGAUAUUCUUCAUUGGGUGUCACUAUCAGAGGAUCACUGCCUGUUUCCUUGCUGUAAUUCAUGAACUUCUAACUUUCAUGAUCUGAGCACAGAGCUUCUCAACACUUGGCUGAUGAGGCACUUACUUCAGCAACCUGAACUGGAAUCACUCCAAAUUCAGCAACCUAGUAAUCACAGUGACUUCAGCUGCCCCAUCUGUCUCCAAACAGUGACUCUUCCAGUAGAAACCAACUGUGGACAUCUAUUCUGUGGCUCUUGUCUAAUAACAUACUGGAAACAUAGUCCUUGGUUAGGAGCAAUAAUCUGCCCUCUCUGCAGACAAAAGGUGGUGGUUCUGGAUAACAUCUCUUGUGAAAAGCUACAUGAUAAGCCAAGUAAACAGAUUGUACACGACAUCAGAGCAUACAACAGGCGUUUCUCAGGGCAACCUCGACCCUUUGCAGAUUACCUCUAUGACAUGCCAUUAUUCCUGACUCUUGCCUUGCGAGGAAUCUUCACCUGGGGUGGUCUCAUGUGCAUUUUUUUCCUAAGAGUUGUUGUUUGCUCCUUCGGAACAGUCAUAUGCUUAUCAUCUCCUUUUGACACAAUGCCUGGGCCUCUCUGUAGAACACUCGGAACAGCUGACGACAUGGUGGUUGUUUCCCUUCUUUUCAUUUGUGUGAUAAACAUUUGUCAGCAAAUUGCAACAAACAGGGUAAAUAUGGCAAGGUCUGCAGCUCGGAGCAUGCUGUCAGAAUCCUGAGUGACUCAAACUUUGAUUUCUCAGACAAACUCAGUCAAACAGUGACAGGCUUCUCCUCCAUUUGGGGCAGCAUGUGAUGGAUUUGUCAUUGUGCUGCAAAGACUGAAGCGGGACUCAAGUGAUAUUUGGCAUGGCCAAGUGAUUCGAUGUGCAAUUGCUUAGAAGGCUGUGCCACUAUGUAUUUACUAGACUCUUUCAUGCUUCAUGUGUCUCCAACUUAUUCUCAUACGAAGUGCCUGAACUGAAAAUGCCUAAGCCUUUCAAUAGGACCUAAAAUUACAAUGCCAGUCAACUUGCAAUUGAGAUUUUUAGAACUUUUAAGCUUUGACAUUCACAUCUUGGUUCAAUUUGAAUAUAAUUUAAUUUGAGAAUUUAGCAAACUGCUGUUUGCUAAGUCUCAAGUAACACAAGUAAUGUUAGGUAAUACCUCUGCAAAAUCUUGUGUCAGUACUUUUUGCUAUCAUAGCUGAUUACAUAUCCAAUGGAAUACAGAUUUUUACAGCUCUGCUAUGAGUACAGUCCUGAUUCUAAAACUGGACAAUAUGAACCUAAUAGUAAUACUGGCUUGGAGCAAAAACGCAACUGUAAAAUGUAAGUAUUACAAGCGAAGAAUGGUAUAAAAGGAUCACGCAAGAAGUGUGGGCACAUCUCUGUGUAAGCCUUUUGUCUAAACCUAUGCAAAGUAUACAGCUUUGGUGAACUCUGUUCACGUAAGCUUUAACAAAGUCAGUAUGAAUGGUUGUUUCCUUUGUGGACUCCAUACACUCCUUGUGUUUUCCUUGCAAGUCUUGGUACUACUUCAGAGAGAGAUAAAGGCUACAUUUCUGAUGAUAAAGAAGUUUAUGGAAAAUCUGCUAAAGUUGCUGUGUGUGUUGAGUAUGGCAAGUUAAAAAUGCUGGUAGAGUGCCAGACAAUCCUGAGCAUCUGUCAGUGUACAAUCUGUACAUUUGUUAUGUAUUUGGAGUCAGUGAACUUCAUUUUUACAUAUGAGUUGUAUAUUAAAAUUGAUAUAUUAAAAUAUAUGAAUAUUUAUUGUUCACAGUACACUGCUCUCCAACUGUUUUUUUCUUUUUACACAUUUUCAAUUGACAUAUUUUAUUGUACCCUUUACUGUAUGCUAUGAUAUAGCAGUAUGUCACAGUUAUUCUCUUGCUUGUUAUACUCUUCUUGUUAUGAUGGUUUUUUUCAUUUUAUUCCCAUCAACUUUCAUUGUCUUUAAUUAUGUCCCUGAACUUGUAAAGCUGUCUCUCUUAACAAUGGGUACUUGGGAAAUGGCAACAAUUGCUUUUCCAUGAAGUACAAGGCAGGAAGUGCAUUGUUUCUUUAAAAAAAAUUCCCAGAUGUUUUUGAGUGCUGACUACAAACAUGUAAACCCCAGAAACCAUUAUUUUCCAAGUUCUCUAAGUGUAGUUUUGUUAUUGUCUAACUUCUGUUUGCAUUUAACUGGGAAUAACAGCCUAUGCCAAUACAAAGGAGUGGGCUUGCUAUCAAGCUACUUGUAUAAGGAUGGAGUCCAUUUUUACAAAUACUGGCUCAGUGGAAUGGGCUUGCAGGUUGUUUCUGUGGCAUAAUAAAGGCUCACCAUGGGGGUCGCAAACUGCAGUCUGAAGAAAAGAAGGGCUCUCAUUAGUGACCUAUGACAGAGUUACAGCCCCCAAACAGGACAGUAUGUUUUAUUAAGAAGUAACAGACAAAGGGCAUAGAAAGAAUUGCUGAGAAUCUCACUGAAGGCCUUGGCAGUGUUCAGACCUUGCAAGAUCAAAACAGUAUUCUCUGAGGUGAAAUGUUUUUGCAGUGUACAAACAGAGCAUCCAGCCCCUCUACUUCCAUGGCCAGCUAUGCCAUGAGCCGAUGUUGGGAGCCUGGCAGCUUCCUGUAGGCAUAACUGUCCAGAGCAGAAUAUAAAAUCACCUGAAAUCAAGUGAAAGCCUCUUGUUGACUGGGAUUGGCCAGCAGGCAGCCAGGAGGCUGUCCAGGCAUGGACAAAGGCAAGUCUAAGGAAGGAAAACCUCUCUCCCUCUGCAUUCUCUGUACCUGCUGUCAGUGGGUUUAGCUCUGUGGCUGUGAGUGUGCAGAUGCACAGGUUUUGUGUUGAGCCUGUGUGAAGCAACGUGGUAAGAACAGGCAUGGAGAGCUGGACUGCUGCAGGGCUGAGGGCCGAGAUGCAGCUGGCAGGGUGGAAGGAAUGCUCCUGCAUUAUGAACAUGUUUGCAGCAACUGUCUGCACAGCCUCAUCCUUCAGUAUCAACAGUGGGCUGGCUCACAUCUGCACAGAGAUUCACGUGCACUGAAAGCGAGUUACUUGCAAGCUACAAAAUGGCUCAAAUUAUCAAUAGCAAAACCACUAUACUGCAAGAAUGGAGACAAAAAAAAAGAGCAGGAAACAAGAAAACAGAAGGAAAGAAAGACUGCACAGCUGCAAAAACAAUGUCCAAGUAUGAGCCACCAAAGAUAUACUAUAAUCAGAGUAAAAAAAAUACGAAACAGAACAUUCCAAUGGAAAUGAUGUCUCAGCUGUAGCUGUAGCAGGUACUACAGGGACCGUGUGUGCAAUACCUGUGCAAAGCACAGCACAGCACAGGGAUUCAGAUCCACCCAAGUCAGCGGUGCUGCUCCUUGUGCUGCUCUGUGUGAGGCCAUCUGCAAGCAGCAGCACCGCAGUAUCCACUGCUGGCUCUGUCCUCUGCCACUGGGAAACGUGUACCCCCAUUGUGCCUGGUGUGCACGGAUGGCAGGCAGAAAACACCCAGUACUGCAUAGUGAAUUGAGUGCAUUUUAUUUCUCCUUAACAACAAAAAUGGACAUUUAAAAUGAUAACAUCGUAUUUUUACAAUGGAUGGUACAGUAAGAUGAAAUUAGCCUCGUCGUAGGCAUUUAUCCCUGCCGUUCCCAGAAGAUGCCACUGGAUUAGGAGCUUUUCAUGAUGGAGCGAUACUCUCUCUGAUGUUCCACAAGUUUCAAAAAUACUUCAUAUUUCUUGUCAUAAAAUCUGUAUAAACAAGUUAAUUGCAACAAAGCUUGAGAUAUUAAGAUUUAAAUCCCUUGUAAUGUACAUGCUUACUUCCUUCACUUAGCAUCAAAGUAGCUCUGACUAAUAACAAGUUAGACUCGUAUGAGUCCUGCAUGCUGCCAGAGCAGUUUCCACCCAACGAGUGACUCCAAGUUAGAACUGUACAUUUGGUUUCCCCGCAGCCACCUCUGAUUUGCAGUUCUCCCGGAGCCCCCCAGACACUCCCAGCUCCGGCCGUGCCGCCAGGGGGUGCCCGCGCCCCUCCGCCCAGCGCCGUUCUGGGCCCGGGCGCCGAGUUGCCAGCGCUGCGGGGCUCAGCCGGGCAGGCGCUCGCUGAAGCGCAGCUUGCACCGUCCCAGCUUGCCGGCACCUCCCCAGGAGCUCAUCACAUCUCUCGAGCUGCGAGUGGCGUCCGCGAGUGGCAAGCUGCGGGCAUGGGUAGAGAUCUACAGCGUAAGGGGCUUCCUUGGAGUAGAUUACCACCUCCACCCGCACGGAAGAGUUGGGUGCCCAUGUGAUCUUUAAAAACCGGGGGUCAUAAAUGCUAAUGCAUUCGAGCAGGGCUAGAAUGAGAGAGUGUAACUUAGUUUUAGGUAAAUGCUCACAGGUGAACAGACAAAAAUCAGGAUUACCUUUUAUGUUCGUGGUUAGGUCGCACGACUUGCCCGAUUUUUCCCAUUUUUGCCAUGGCCUCCUAGUAAAAGACAAACACAAACUGGAAAAGCCUGUUUUGAUUUAAAAUACUUUUUGACAAGAACAAGAUGUUUCAAAACCAAUCGGAACAUUACUGAUGUAUUUUGUUUCGACUGAACAGGCCAGAUGGCUUAAAAUAUGUUCAAUCCCAUAAUAUAGUAGUCAUGAGAACAAAGUACUGCAGACCUCUCAGUAAACCAAAAUCUGUUCCUCUUUCUUACUGGGAGUCUGAGGCAGAACAGACUCAUCUUUUAUUAUUUGCACUAACCAAAGGAAAUGUUAAACACUGCAUCCCUGGAGGAGAAAUUUCUCAAAUAAAACGAUACAUUACAUGAGAUCUCUUAAUCAUAUUUCUAAAAUAUCAAUUCCCUGCAGCAAGGAAGGACUUAAGGGUGCUUCAGAAGCUCAAUAUAUCUUGCAAAGUUCUGCCCUCACAUUCCAAGAUAAAGGUGUCAGAAGCAGAUUUUGAACCUAAACUGCUUUUGGUGAAAAUAAAGACAGGAAGGGAUGGAUCCCUUUGGAAGAAGUCUCCGGGACAGUCGUGUGCAGAUGGGAGAGGACCAAGUAGUUUGGUUUCUUUCCCAAUCUUGGAGAUUCUGAUUUUCUAUGGAUUUUCCUGAGCAAUUCCACUGGCAUAAAACUGAACAUCAACGUGAGCAUGGAGCCAAGCUCAAGCUCAAGCUCAAGCUCUUGAACAAGAGAGGAGGCAGCAGCCUAAGGCUAUUUUAACUGGAAUUUCUUCCACAAGGAGCACUAGAGCAAAAGUUUUCAGAUGGAAAGGCAUUAAAUAUAAAAUAUCAGGAUUCAAGAGACAGUGACUGAUGAAAUCUCUAUCAGAACUCAUUGUUUCUAGCAGGACUUGAAGUCCAUUUUAAUGUUAGUGCCUAAAGCACAACACUGAGAGAUUGUCAGUGACUUCUGGAGAACAGCCAGCCUGUGCCAAGCUGCUUCUGCUGGAAGCCACCUCCUCAAAUGCUACCGCCAGAUUUUUAAAAAGGUUGCAUGAUUUUAUAGUCUGUUUGCUGUAGUAAAAUCUUUGCUUUCCACUAAUGCCCCAUUUUACAGCUGAGGAACUCACAUGGCUUUACAAUGUGGAUGAGCAAUGCCAGCACAGUUUCACCAACUCAUAACAAGCAGGGAGGUUCUGAAGAUAAGCAAGUGACCAGCAGACCCUACAUCUUCUGGUUUCCCAUUUUCACUGUGUUAAAGAAAUAUGAUAACUGCCAGGAUGCACGUGGCCUGCCCACGAAGCCAGCAGCUACCCUGCCUCCACGUGCAGCGGUGUUUGGCCAGCUAGGCAUGCAGUGCCUGGGAUGCCACACGUGUGCCAGAGCUGCAGGUGGUCCCUAUCUGCCAUUACUGUUGUGCUCUGGGUGUGUUUGCUUUGUCCUUCAGCAUCAACAAAUCCUUUCAUACUGCCUAUCAAAAUGUGCAACACAUACUUUCUACAUUUGUCAACUUCAGGAGAUUAAAUACUGGUUGAAGUCACAGUUCUACUAAAGCAAAACACACUGUCAGUGAUGGUGGUCAGCAUUUUACUCUGAUAAAAUAGCAAAGGCGUGUUUUGGUGCACUGAUAUGCCUGUACACUUUCAAGCAUGCAGAAGUUGGUUGUAUUUUGACUCCCUAAGAAACACACUUGAAGUAACACUUCCAGUGAGAUAGUGUGUUCUCUUCUCUGGGACACGUGAAUCUGCUGGCACAGCGAUUCUGCUCACCAGCCAGAUUAAAAUACUGACACAGAAAGGCUGAUAUAUUUCCCAGUAAGAGAAAUGAGUGUUUAUUCUCUGUUUUUUAACAGGUGAUACUAACUCAAGCAGAAUAGUCCAUCUCUUACAACUCCUUUACAUAGCCAGCUGGACUUAGAGGCACCCACAAAAUGAAUGAGCACAGGAAAGAAAAAAAAAAAAAAAGCAAAAGACAAUUUCCUCUUGUACAAUCAACAAUGCUUUUUCAGACAGCUUCCUCACGUAUAAGAAAAACACAGAAAACAUAAGGAAAAGGGACAUGCUGCAUAGAAAAGCCCCUCAAAAUUUUCCCACUAAUGGGAAGAUUCAUAUUGCUUUCAAUUCCCUGCUUUACAACUCUUGUUGAAUUGCCCUGGUGCUACUGUUCACACCAAUGAGACAAAAAAAGGGACACCUGGAAAGGCUGUAAAUGUCUCAGAAAAAUAAACUUUUCUCUCAACUGCAAGAAAAAUGAAAGGGAGAGCCUUUGCUGCUCAGCCCCUCUGUGCACAGUUCCCAUACUGGGGAACAUUAGGAGGAAACAGACAGCUCUGCUCCCCAGGAAGGUUCUACCUCCGCCCUAAAUACUCUCCACUAAUGUUGCGCUUUACUCUGGGCCUCUUACAGCUUUCAGCGUUGAAAAAUGCAGUAAUCACUUCUUUGGGAGAUAAGCCAACCUUGUGAGACAAACGUACAGUAAGCCCAGUUUUACUUUUACACUAUGACUUGUCUGACUAAAGGUCUUCUCAGGCUGGUUCAAGAGAGAAGACAUCAGUGCUGGCACGAGCAGACAAAGCCAGUGUGGGUGCCAUGGCACAUCCUCUAGCUCCCAGCCUGUGCCACUGUCACCUGACUGAGGCUCCAUACUAACACAAGGAAGAACUUCUUUACUGUCAGAGAGAUGGAGCACUGGAACAGGAUGCCCAGAGAGGUAGUGGAGUCUCCUUCUAUGGAAAUAUUCAAGACUCAUCUGGACACAGGCUGACCUAUGCAACCUGCUGUAGGGAACUUGCUUUCGCAGGGGGAUUGGAUUUGAUCUCUAGAGGUCCCUUCCAACUCCUCUAAUUCUGUGAUUCUGCAGUCAACUCAAUAUUUUGUACUUUUAAAUCUACUAAAUAUAUACAAGUCUUGGGGAAUUGGCAGCAUUAGGCUCUCACAGCAACCACUAUGAUAAUGUCAAAUACUAUGUUAAAAAAAAAUACAGAGCCAGCAAUUUUCAACAACUUGUUCUAGGUUGCUCAAACUAUCAUACAUGAAUUCCUCUCUUAAUUUGGUCAAUUUGGUCUUUGUUAGUUUGAACAAAUACUUUACUCCCAGAGGAGACUCUUUUCAACAGUUUUCUGGGGACAAAGAGGAACAGAACAUUGAAAAUAGGAAUUUAUAAUGAAAUUGGAAACAAAGGAUCAUUAGAAUCGCAUUACUCAAUCAGAUCAACCUUGUGCACUGCUCUGUCUCCAACAAAGCCUUAAAUAUAGCAAAGCGAUAAUGCUGCUGUUCAGAAAUAGUUUGAGGGUUGACAUCCAAAUCCAUAAUUCCAGUCACCAAGAAUUUCACAAUCUCGAUUUGAAUGACGCUCUAUCUUCUUUGUUUGGCAGUCUAGACAGUACAAUGAAUACAGUGAUUUAAACAUAAUGAAUUCUCUCUUAAAACAAAAUAUUUUGUAAAAUUGCUUUUUAAUCAUUUCUUUUCUCUCUUUACAUAAAGGCUAUGCUAUAAAUAAACCCUGAAAGUUCGCAUUUGAUCAUCAUUUCUAAAGGCUGGGCAAGAGGCAAGUGAAGGGUUUACACAGAAAAAAAUAGAGGCACUGUGGAGCAGAAAUAAAGGGAUGCAUUCAUGAUUUCUAACCUUUUGUUACAGUGUCAAAGCUGAGACAGACAGAAGCCAGUAAACACUGCUUACCAUGGAGAGUUAACCGAACAGCAAUACCCUACCAGGGCAGAAGGCAGAGGCCCAGCAAACCAAACUCUCCAAGGCCCACCAGUGUUUCAAAGCAAGGUGCCAUUCUGCAACCCUUCUGGAAAGUCAGUUGUUCAGAGCAAUUCAUUCAGCACAGGUGGCUGAAUUCUGCUCUUCAGCACCACCUGGGGCAGAGGCUAACAUUAAGCCUCCACAGGCAGCAGAUCUCCCAGUAAUAUCACGGUUCAGCUGACAGCUCAUGCUGGAAAUUUCAAUCUUUGCCCUUCUAGCAAUGGGAAGGAAAAGGUUUUUAACACUAUUUGGCAGAUGCAUUGCAUCAACCUACUGCGUCAUACCAGGAGACACCAGGAAAAAAUGUCAGCCCAGCAGCAGGAAGAGCACACAGGAGGUGCUUAGAAGGGCCAUCUAGACUGAGAGUCUGCGCUCCUCUGAUUCCCAAGUCAGUCAGCUCCUGCAUCACCUUGUGCAUCCCACAAGGGGAACCCGUCUGCCUCAGGAUUGCUGAGGGAGCCAUGGAAGAUCAACCUACCUGUAAAUAGUCUUUAAGUUCAAUUUUCAAUAGAGACUCAAGGACUUAUGCGGCUGAGUAUUACUGAAAAUUAAUGGAAUGUAGGCCCUUAAAAGCAUAUGACAAGUGAGAAAUCAGAUUUACAUACUUCAGCCAUAGCUCUUAGGAUAAACCAAAGUCAUCAAGUAACUAAAUCUCAGCAAAAUUAAUGACCUGGGAACAUCAGAUCCCGUCAGAAUUUACGUGUAUGCUCUAUUUAGGUACUUUAAAAUUGCAUCCAAAGUUAAAUGGAUGAGGUAUUCAGGCACAAAUGCAAUUUCUCAACUGUAUUCUUUCCACUUAUUCAUUUGAAAACCCCAAGAAAUGUUAGGAUUUUUAACUGGUAUUGUUGUUAACAGUAAAAACAACUGUUAUCUGAAGUUUCACUGCACAAUUUCAGUGGCUGGAAGCAUUUGGCCUGUAAAUAUAAAAGCACACAUCAAAGCUCACCAGACUGUUUGGGCACACCAUGCUUCAGUUAUGAAAACAGCGUGGCCAGCUACUUGGAGGAGGAAUCUUUAGGCAACAUGAAAACCGAGAGGUGCACUUAAGUGCAAAUUCAGCAUGUUUUCUCUCUGAAUGGUGCUGGUUUGUAGCUUGUCCAGUGACAGCCAUUGCACCAAGAAUGGCUCAUCUAGGAGAGACACGAAGGAUGAAAAGUAACUGCUGUAAACCAGUUUUCAAUCAGAAAUUGUAACAGAAGUAAUUCAGGAAUCUCAGAACAACUGGAAUGAGAUGCAUGGCUUGCUUCUCUUUCCAAGCCAAAGUUAAUUUACCUCAUCUUAGCACUGAGGCAAAAGACAGAAAUUAUACUCAGUUUUAUUGUGGAAUAUUGGGCAAGUGAUCAAAAGCUGCCAUUCUUACAGGCAAGCAAUGAGACAGCUGUACCAGUAAACAUGGUUCAUCAGAUAUUUGUGAGAAUGACAGGAGUGUAUGUAUGGAAAGUCAGUUUCCACUCUAAGCCGUGCACAGCUCUGAAAUGCAAAUUUCCCCUUCAUUACUCGGACAACAUUAUCCAGACUCCCACUCAGGUCAGCCCUGACUCUUGUGCUUCCAUACAGCUCUACUGACACGGAUCAGCAUCAGAGGAAAAUAAUUUAAGAGUUGCUCUGUUUACAAUAGAUUGAAACUCCCAGUAGAUUUUUUCCAAUUUGUAGAAUCUGGCAGGGCUAAGUAGCUACCUUCAAACUAACAGACUGGCCUUCUUUGCACUUUUAAGUCCUUAUAACGAGUACAGUAAAUAUGUUAGAUCAAAGAAUUUUUAUUUUCUGCAGCAGUGAAGAGUCUCUCUCGCCCAUCUCCCCACACAAGCUGAGACUAACAGACAGUGACAUCAUUUUAAAGAAUCUAGUCGCACAUAUUUGGAUUUGAGGGCAAUAAACAGAUUUCUUAAAAUGCUGACAUCCAAGAAAUACUUCUGAAGUGUGCUGAGAUUUUUAAGCAAGGCUGCUCUUUUCUUAUAGACAUUUACAUUGGGAUUGCUUACCCAAUAGCCUGGAGAUGCAAAGUUCAUCUUAUCUACGCUUACAGGAGUUGCAUGAAUUUCAUUAUGUAACGGAGCCCUAGUAGAACAUUCCUUUUUAGUGGUAAUGACUGCAUGAAGAAAGCAUGUGAUAGAUCCAUACACGGUAUUUUUCUAGUGGCUUCCCCCCAACCCCUUAAAUAUGUUUGAGUUAUAGGGGAAGAUCUUGGCAGCAUGCACAAAGCCCCAGAUCUGUAACUCAAUUCUCUGUGGCAUUCCGAAUGGAGUGAGCCAAGUUUUAAAACACAUUAUGGAUAAAUAGGGGAGCUAAGCAAAAAUUUCACACCUAAGACCAAAGUGUGAAAAUUUGGCUUUCAUUCCUUUAGUGAAAAGGUGGAAAAUUUCACACAAGCUUGUAUUUUUCUUUUGCUCUGUUCCAACAUAGAUUUUUGUGUUAGGAUCAAGCCUCGGAGAGAGAAUACAGAGAAGUAGGGAAAAGAAGAGGAUGGAAGAGUGGAGGUCCAGCAAGCAGGUCACCAGCUCCAGGCUUCACUUCUAGUUUGUCUUCCAGGAAGAAUUGCCAGCCUUUUGAAUCUCCCUACCCAUGUGUUAGUUAAAGCAUUGGCCCACCCUAAAGAUAUAUUUGAUCCAUUCGUUUAUUAAAGACUCUUACUGUGGUAGAGGGAAUCAGGCAGGUAGUGUAGAAGAUGCCCAGUGUUUUUAUACUCCUGCAUCCAUACAAUAGCAGUUGACGGGGCCAGCUGGACCAGUCUUGGAUGGGUCACUCGGAACUGAAGCAAGGUAGUUUUCUGGUUUGAGCACCAAAUCAGGAUACAGAAUCAUAGAAAGGCCUGGGUUGAAAAGGACCACAAUGACCAUCUCAUUUCCACCCCCCUGCUAUGUGCAGGGUCACCAACCACCAGAUCAGGCUGCCCAGAGCCACAUCCAGCCUGGCCUUGAAUGCCUCCAGGGAUGGGGCAUCCACAACCUCCUUGGGAAACCUGUUCCAGAGAUACAGGUGAGCAGCCUUCAGCCUCUCAAAGGACAAAGAAAGGUGGGCAGCUGACCCAUUCUGCAAAAGCACACAAGCAUCCACCUCCUUGCAAAUAUGUGGCCACUUGGUUCUGAGAGGAAAACAUUGCUGCAAUUGGAGCUAAGAGCACUUCAGGGCACCGAACGGACCUCUGCACAGAGUAUGCAAAGGGAUGCACAGCUCUCUCAUUUAACCAACAUACCUGCCUUUCAAGUUCUUCGCUUGUGAACCUCAGCCAAACUAAUUUGAUAAUUCGAGAUGGUUUGCAAAAGAUUCCCCAAGUUAUUUUCAACAAAUAAUUUACUCUUUUAAGUUUCAGUUACCUCUCUAAAAUAGGCUGAGCCCAUUGUUUUCCCACAGGCUUGAUUUGUUAUCUGUUAUUUAUUUGUUAUUUCUUUGUUAAAGCUACACAGUUUGUAGCUUUAGGUUUGGCUCUAAUACUGUACCAUGGUAGUACACAGAGGCUUUAGUUCUACUCCUGCCCUCCAUGCCUGAUUAAAGUACGUAUCACUUGACCUCUCCUAUGACGCAGGAGAGUGGCUUUCACUCCUUAGUAUCAGAGACAAGAACAAAUAGAAAAGAAAGAUCACAUAGCAAGAGCCAAGUGCAACUAAGGGCACCACACCGGCUCUACCUCCUAAGGUACUUUUAUCCUGCUUAAAUGUCCACUCUGAGUGUCAGACGGAUUGUGGCCACCAUAGCUCUGUGUCACACAGAAUUUGUGCCUUAGCCAGGCUGGCCAGCCAACAAAGCUGUAAGAGGAGCAGCAGUAGCAAUGCAGCUGCUGUGAAGGGUGGCUUGUCGUGCUAGAAAUGAUAUUAAUUACUUAUUCUCCAGACCAAAUUUAGAAUGGGAUGAGGGUCAGCUAUGAUUGUCACAUCAUCUAUCAGCUGGAAACUAUGUUUGGGUCUAAGCUCCAGCCACACUGCUACUAAAUAUAGGCUGUUUUGUUGUUCAUCUGACUCUGCACUCCAAACUUGCCUUUGACUAUCAAAUAAUUAAGCAGUUUGCUUUGUGAGGGCUCCACUGCUGGCAACAUCUAGUGUCUAAAGCUGUUUGGAUGCAAACUUGACAGCUUAGCACGGGUUUCAGCUUACCCGGGCAAUGGAAAGAGCCCAAAAGUUUAGCUCCUGUUUCAGUCUCACAGACUGCUGGCACUGGGUGCCAUUAAUCAAUAGUCUGUAGGCAACAUCUAAGCAGCCUUUACUGGAGCUGGGGCACAGCUCAGCCACACUUACCAGACAUGAGCCCACAGAAGAUUAUUCAUGAAGUGUAUGCCCACAUCCCAGUGCCUGUGGGUGAAGGUCCAAGACAGUUUUGAAUCCAGCCAGCAGACACUGCUGUGAUGCAACCACAGCAGCACAGAGCUGUGCCCUAUGCCCACCAAGCUGCUCCCCACAACCUGGAACACGUUUGGCCUCCUCACCACUUGCAUGCUGUGGGUGGCUAUGCCUUGACUGGCAGCUCAGCCACCAAAGCGGAGGCUCCCUGACCACAUCACCAGCUAGCAUGGACAGUACAUUUCCCUCAGCCCCUUCUGAGGUAGAAUACAUUCAUUAACCAUACACAGUGUUACUGUUGAAGCAGACUUUGAAGGUUUGUCCAUAUAAACUACACAAGAAAAUACAUGUAUUUAAGCCACUUGGGGGCUUGGAAAUGGACAGGUAGCUCCGUGUAAAAGAAAGCAAGCUCACCUGGGAGUCAAGAGAUUAGAUUCCUGUAUCAGUACCUAAUGUAGGGAAUUGCAAUAUAGCUGUAAGCUAAAUCAACCCUGUCCAUACUCAUUGCUGCUGGUGAUGGAGCACUACUGGAGUCUAGGAGCGCUGCUCUGCUGCGCAAACUGGAACAAGUUAUUUUGCUUCUCUUGCUCCCUUCUUGCACUGUCAUAACACUUCUCUAUCCUCAGUUUUAGAUGGGAAAACCUUUGGGGCAGGCAGAGCAGGUGUGUGACUCCACACUAACUUGCAGAACAAAAGAAAUCAGCUAGACAGAAAGCAGGAGUCAUUUGCAGAGGGGAAGGUAAAACAGAGAAGCUGAAGGAAAGGCACCCGCACAGGAUAUCCUGAUGCUCAGCUGUGUAUUUGACACAAUAUUUUGUUAAACUGCACCACUUCCUUUAAGGUGAUAAAUUCAGAUUUAUUUAGCUGAUUUCUUUUCACAUCCAUGCUGAGCGUACGGCUUUCUGCACAUUUAGCUGGAACUUUUAUUUGCCAUCUGGCAACAGGUUGGGAUUUACUGGAGGGAAGGGGUAGAAAUGGGGGCUUUCGCUUUUCUUUUUGCAUCUGUAUUUGCUUUAUGAGCAAUGGCCACGGCAUCAUUUACACGUGGGGAACUGGAUCGGGUUCUCUCAAUUCUUUCCAUAUGUUCACUUACGCUGUCAAAACAUUUUUUUGAUCUAAUUAUUCUGCACACAUCUCCUCAUUCACUCCCCACUCAGUUUUAGCACAGGGGGGUUACCUGGCUGAGAUUUUGUCAUCUAAACAAUUUCUGCCUACACUUUGCUUUAUGCUAUAUUUGCUUUCCAUCAAGAAAACAAAACUAUACGCAACAUCUCACUCUUUUCCAUCUAAUUAUUCUUCAGCAUCUUUCCAAAGUUCUGAGGCAUUCCUUUUUCUCUCACCUUUCACAUUUAUUCUGUGCUGUGCUGCAGUAUCUCCUGAGAUUCAUGAGGGGAAAAUCCCACUGAGAGUUUUGAUUUGAAAUUAUUUUUUAACUAAUUAAUCCAAUGUGUGGUUUACUAUUAAAAAAAACAAAAAAACUCAGAUAUAUGCUUGCAUUUUACCCAAUCUGGGCUGCAUUUGGGAAAUUACUGUGGGCCGGGGCUCAUAAAAUACAAGAGGCCUUAAAAAAUAAGAAAAAAAGCCUAUCACAGCUGUAAAGCAAUAGAAGCUUGAGUUGCUACAAUAGAGUAAAACUGCAUAAAAAUAGAAAGAGCCUUUCUGGCGCCCUUACAGAUAUUCUAUCUGCAACAACAACAAAAAUUAAAAUAUUUCCCAAGAGAACACCGGUGUUUUUCAGGUAUCCAAAGGAUGCCAUGCAGAGAGUAAAGCACUGAAGAAACCAGCAAUCUGCUACGACUUCAGAACCGUUCUGCACAGCCUUCUGUCAUUGUGAAACACAGUACAGAGAAAGUAACUGUCUAACUGCAGGGUGCAGUUGGUUUCCUUCCCACAGCUGCUCCAGUCAAGGAGUGCUGGUGCUGUCCUGUCUUUAUAGCAGCCCGGGGGAAGGAGCAGCUGGCAAAGACACAGCUCUGUGGUCAAGUCCUGAAGAAGGUACCCUGGGCUCUGUGCCUGGCACAGGACACUUUGCGAAGCACCUCUGCCUUUAGCACAGCAAGGGUUGGCCUCAGCCCAGGUUGAUACUCCACACUCCUGCUCAUGCAGCUGCAGGCACUACAAAAACUUUGAGGGGAGGAUUUGCUGGGCCACUGAAGGCAGUUGGCCCCAGAUACCUUCGGCACCCCAUGGGACGCUAGCUCUGUGUCCUCCAUCACUACACCUGAUUCAGCUGUAUAACAGAAAGGUUGUCAGAAAGCUUACAGAACUGCCCAUUGGGCAAACCAGAGCUGGGGGGGGAAACGAUGAACAGAUCAGAAACACAGUACAAAGAGCUCUGCAGGUGUUGCCAGGGCAGGAGAAUGCAUCCCACACAUUCCAAAGAUUGUAGGUCUCUAAGCAGCCUUUUGAAAAUGAGAACGAAAUGCUUGGCAACUCCUCAUGGUCUGCUUCUCUUCCGAGAUGUGAACUUGUCUGGUUCUGAUCCCCUUACUCCUAUAAACAUUGGCUUGUAUCUCCUGGAGACCAUUUGGAAACGAUAAAUGUAUUUUUCUUUAUCAUUAAAGCACCAACUUACACAAAUGCACUGGGAAGAAGCCAUUCUUGUGGGUGAGUGUGAAAAGUUACCCUCAGCACUACUACUUCCCUCUGUCAAGCCUGGCAUUUUUGUAUAUGAAAACAAAAGCAAGGGCUAUUAAUCCCCAUCUGCCCCUGAGUCAUAAAAGAGCCUUUGGCUGCAGGGAUACGGCAUAACCCUUUUUAGUGUUCAAAUCUGAACCUGCCACCCAGAACCCACCACUGCCAGCAGGAAUGUUUAAAGGUAGCCGAGGCAUCUUUUUCCUUAGGAAACCUUCUAAGAAAGCAUUUGUCUUCAUUUGGCAAAUAGGAAAAGAGCAAAUUUUAUAAUUGACUGUGCCCAAAACAAUAGCUGGUUCUGUCUGAAAACACACCAGCUAGAAUUAAAAGUGCAGUUAGCGUGUUAGUGAGUGAGUCAUCAAGUGGCAGCAGAGUUUGCUGGCUCACAGCCCAAGAUCUAACAGAGCACCAUCCUGCUCGGGGGGUUAUCUUUAAAGCUGAGAUCUUGCAGAGUAGAGCACAGUAAACUAGAGGAGUGCACACUUUGCCCUCCCUUCCCCCAAAAUUUCAGCUAGGUGGGAGGGUUGCUGAGCUUGUUUAUAAGCUGCCUUUUACCUCCAAGGAAAGACAAACCCUGUAACUCCAGAGGGGCACGCUCCCCUACAGCACCCAGUUGGACACCAUUCCUAUUUUGAUGGGGCUCUCAACUGUCCCAUUCCAUUUCCUGUUUUUCAAGAAGCCUCCAGUUAGCUGCACCUUGUGGUUCCUACUUCCAAGCAAGCUUUACCCUUCACUCACUUCAAUGAGAAAUUUCUAAUGUUCUGUAAGGCAUUUAUGGGGAAAGCAAAAUUCUCAACUGUGAGGCGGGCAGCAGGAUGUGUCAGCUCCUGCAUCUCGACCUUGGACAAGUCAUGCAAGUCUUCUGCACCUGUUUCUCAUAUAUUCCAUAUAUGAGAACCAAUAACACCAUUAGAUUAAUACCAAAGGUGUAGGAGGGAAAUCUAGCCAAUGUGAGAUACAACUGAAGAAAAAACACUUUGUGAUUUACAAUUCAUCUGAUGGUCAGGAUUGAGCCAAUUCCUAUUGCUGAGGGUCUGACCUUUUAUUUAAACACAGCAAGCUGGGAGAGCAGCACAGACUCAGAUGGAUCACGGAGCUUUUCACUCGUAGGUCACCAAGCAGAACCUCAGCAAGGUCACUGAAUGUUUACAAGUUAUUGUGGUAUGCAAGCUUUUUAUAACGUCCUUUGCAAAGUGGUUUAUUGGUUUCAAAUUAAUUUCUAUUGCACACUUUUCACAACAUGAAACACUCUACUUCUACUGCUCUGAAACUGUUCACCCUCUGCAAAGCUGCACAAGAGACAGUGUUACCACUACCCGAGCAAAUUCCCUUUUGAAACUGUUUGAAGAAGAGUACAAACUGUGAGCUGAGCCUGGAUGACCUCAGAGAGCCUUUUCCAGGCUUGGGUAGAGGCAGAGCAUGACAGGAAAAGCUGCACUGCAGCUGCACAUGCUGUUCUUCGGGACAGGCAGAGCCCAGCUCUGCAGGGUUGUCCUUCGCUCCCCUGAGUCCUGCAGGUCUCACUGGGCCUAUUCACAGACAAAGAGAAGUGUGUGUGCUGGCAGCAGCACAGCCUAUUUUUUUGCAGAGAAUACUUUCUGAAAGUAAAACAGAAGAGAAGCAGCAAAAAUGAACAACUCUAUCAUUAUCUAAUGUGCUGAGAUCUCAGCAGAGAUCAUUUCAAAGAUCCAUAUUGUUUACAGCAGCUGAUGAGUGCAGCAAGUGCUGAAGCUGUGCUCUCGCUUAAAGUGCUAACAUAUUUACAGUUUUCAGUCCUGUCCUUAGUGCUUAUCUGUCAUUUCAAAAUGAAUGCUCCUUUUGUAGAGGCUAAUUACUUGCAUGAACACUGCACUAGCUCAAAAUCCCAGAUUUGUUUCACUUUUCUAUUAGCAGCAACCUUGUACUUUGCUGUACACAGCACAUGUACAAAAUAGCGUUUUUGUUCAAAGAUGUUUCUUUGCUGUGACAAAGCUAGCAUGGGGGAGGGAAAUGAACUUACUCGUCUGAUGGAAGUCUUAACUUUAUGAUAUGAAAUGCACUUACCCUUGUUCUGCUCUGGCUUGGGUUCUGGUUUUAGAGUAAUUUGUCAAGAUCUGUAUAAAAUCAGACUGGGUCACUAACAAAGUGCUUGUAAAGAAGCUGUUGUCUCAUGCUGAAGAAUCUUUUCUCUAUAUGUAAACAUAAAAGAUUUGGUAGGACCCCAUCCCCUCUUCUUCCAACGAACGGUGGGACCUUGGGAGACUAAAAGCUGUCAGUCACUUCAUUUUUACAGGAAUAGAAGGAAUGCAGGCCACUACGACUCAGUAACUUAAUUAAAGUGAAAAAAAAUACAACCCAGACAUGCAAGAAAAAGGAUACAGUUGUAGCAAGGAGGUAUUAUCCUGGUUUACGUUACGUUCAUUUGGUUUAUGACAGAUCAGUAACCCAUUUCAGAGACAAAUCCAAAAAGCCCUGCAAUGCAAGAUGUGUUUGUUCUCUGUGCUAAUCCCAAUCCCACUGCAGGGAAAAAAAAAAGGUAACAACUGAUUUCUACAAGGCUCCUGCACGUGUCUUCAGCUGCAGUGAGGAGGGCUCAGUACCUGAGCCAGAGGAGCACCCCGUGUGUCCAUUACUGCUUAGAGGCAGCAUUUGAUGCCUACAGCUACAGAAAAUGCUGCUCUUGAACGAAGCUUUGUUGUUUCUACCCAUGGCUGAAUUUGUGCUUCAAAGGAUGUGGUUUCCCAUUGCUACCCAAAUAUUUUCUUUAAACCAGAGUUUUGCAUAGCAAGUGCAUUUCGUUGUAAACGUAUAAUGCAACCUUUAAAAAUCAUGAAUGAUGUAAAUACGAAUAUUAAAACCUGAUAUAAACUUCUGAGUGCUAUUCACACCAUACUACAUGAGCCACCUUUCAUAUUAUAUAUUAGCAAUGAAAAUGACCACAUUUAAAAAACUGUUUCCAUUUUGAAUGUAAGCUUUUGUUUUCCAGCAAAGUCAAAGGAUUUUCUGAUUAAAUUGAAUGGGCUCAACAAUCUACUGGCCUUCCCUCUCUUAUCUUUUCUUCAGUCCAUCAUAGCAAUACCAUUAACAACAUUCUACAUCUUCUUUGCACUUCUUAUCCUAUCACCUUUAAUGUAACUAUAAAACCUGCCGAUAAAGCACUUAGACAUCACUAGAUCUGCUUCAAAGAUCACCCAGAUAAAGAGCCAAUCAAAUGAUUUGUUCAAAGUCACAGAUUGAGUCAGUGGCAAAGCCAGAAAUUAAAGCCACGUGCUCUGAUUCUCAUCAGGUAACUUAAGUUUUCUCAUUUGCAAAAUUCAGCUCUUAUUUAUACCAAAGUACAUUCAGAAGAACUUGGUACUGCAGUGGGUAUGUGACAUUUGAAGUAGUACAGCUGAUAACAGAACUUCACCAGUAUGUGUGUUACCUUGCACUGACAGGCUGCUAAUAAGUUUAUCUCUGGCAAACACGGCUCCGCUUCCCCUCAUCACUACAAAAUACCACACUGCAGUUUCUGUGGUAUUUGUUAGACCCAUAGAGCCAGGAAUUCAUUACUUAUCUCAAGGACAUUAAACAAGCCUGCCGAUCUGAGGUGUCUUAACAUUUCUGGACGUGGGUUCAUCCUUAAGGAGUUACAAUACGAACAGCAAUGGUGAUAAACAGAGAAAAGCCUUUCUUCCUUAACCUUUACUGUUAUUGCUGCAAAAAAACCAACCCAGCACGCAUGAGUAGAAACUGUACGGAAAUUCUCCUCUCCUCUCCAACCUUAAAUCAAUUCUGCGUUGCAGAUGAAGUUUUUUCCACAUUUUGCUGCUUCCUGAAGUCACAAUCAAAAAAAUGACAACUGACCACACUCGGAGAAUUAGGAAAGUUACGAAACAUAGCAAAAAUGUGAACAGGAGGAAAAUCAGGCAGAAAGUUCAAAGGCAGCCAAAUGAAACGCUCAUGUGAAACAGAUCCCGUGUAAUUAGCCACUAGGGGGAACAAGAGUCAUGCUGCUUAAUUAAGCUGUAGGUCACUUUUAGCAGUGGGCUGGAAGGUUAUCCUUUCCCAGGCAGGCUGGGGAUGCUCCAACACAUUCCCUGUAAGCUUUCAGGUGGGACAAAGCUUUCCUGAUGUUCAGCAGUGUUUCAGCUUUGCCUUUCAGGUCUGUGUAGACCUUGGCACAAGCAGUUAUCUAGCUGCAAUUAACCUAUUUUUUCAGCUGAAGCACCUGGUAAAAUAUAUUUUUAAAAAGACAUGGGAACAGAGGGGACAGGAAGAAGAAAAGAGGCACAAAUAAAGAAAAAGGGCAAAAAAGACAAAGCGUAUGUUUUGGUGUUGACUCUUUUAAAAUAAAAGAGAAGAAAAGCCACGCACAGCUCAUAUGUAGACUUGUGUGUGAAAUGCAAAGUACCACACAGCCCACACGGUUAGAAUCCUUACUCUAGUAAGAAGGGAGGAAUGGCAAAGGACCUGCACCCACGCUUGUCCUUGCUGACUUGAGAAGCUGGACAAGUGCUGCCCCAGGAAAAGGAGACAUGGAGCUUUCCAGAAGGCAGGAGCUACUGAGUGCAGUUCUCUGCUUCACAUCAUCCCUCUCGGCUUCCUAUAGGGAGAUGCAACUACAUGAUGUUGUGAAGUUACACCCUAGCCCCUGGGGAAGAAGCUCCACUCCACGUGUGUUCAAGCUCUCCACUCCCACACCAUCCACAACAACCAGACUUUGUCACCGUGGGCCAUGGCUGAAGCUGCAUGAGAAAAAUGAAUGAGGCAAAAAGCAAAAGCCCCUUUUGGGUCACUCUUUGCUGUUGCUCAGGACACCAAACUGUUCAACACUGUGGCUGGAACUGAAUCACAGACAAACAACAUUUUCUACUACCAUAAAAAUAACAAAUAAGUAAUAGUUUUCAGCCUGUAAACACAAGACUUAGAGUUCUGUGUGGUACACUGUAACUGGUAAGUUGUACUCUGGAAGCAGGAACUCACUCCUAUUAGAGCUAGCUCAGCCUAAAGAGUAUCAGAUGUUACUCAGGCCUUAGAAGGUCUGAGACAUAAACUCUGCGUGCAAGACAAAAAGAAGUCAAAUGACUCAUGACAGAGUUUGUUCUAAUAUAAAUGACUUUUUCUGGCUCUUGGCUUUUAAAGACUUGCCAUUUUCAGAUCUUGAACAGCUAACCUAGGCAGCUGGCUUCCUUAGUCAGUGUCCUUCCUUUUGUGUAUAAAAUGCUGGCAUUUACAAACUCAUAUUCCUCUGGCUAAGGGAGGGCAGUUUAUUUUAGCACUGCAAUCAAUGCCAUCAUAAAUCUUUCCUCUUCCAAUCCAACACUGGCAUAGCCCAAACAGUGCUGCGUGGAUAAAACUUGUACCCAUAAAAAAGAGCAUGCACCACAAUGCUUAAUCAAAGUACUACAACCCUUGAGAGUAUACCUGAGGAAGUAGCAAACAUGCUGGCUACACAGUCAUUCCGUGGGGGCAAAGAUAUACAAACAAAAUGAAAAGCAAAGCUUGCCUUGUCUCCCUUUCAUGCAGUACAAGAAACAUCCCUUAGAUGGGACUAUUGCAAAAUUAAACAACCUUACAACCACGGCCAGUAAAUAAUGAGUAAUAUGCUUGUAUAUUCAAAGCUCUUAUACCAAACAGUCAAAGAAAGUGAGGAUAGCUCAUCACAAAAAGACCCCAUUUAUUAGAAGAGUUUCAAACAGCUUAGCAUCUUUACGGCCAUUACUCAUCUCUUUCACCUAAGCUAAGUGCCAGCUUCCAACCCAGAGACUGACACGUACCUAAUUUAUCAGCUGCAAGACACUCAAGCACAGUUUCUCUCAGUCCAGUCUAAAGACACAGCGUUCAAUACCUAAACUACUGGCUUAAACAGCCAGGGAGACAUCAGUCUGGGAAAAUUUCACAAACAUUCUUAUCAGACAUUUUGAAAGCAUAAGGAGUCUGACCCAAGGCUGCUAGACUCAGAAGUAUUUUGCUGAAUAUAUCCAAGAUGUUUAGCUCAGUUUUGAGCUACAGGGCUGGGAAAUGAAAGGAUCUUCCAAAUGCAACACAAUUAUCCUCCAAUUAUCAUCAGCAUUCUGUUCCUUGACAGAACAAGAUGAUUCCACCAUGGCUUCCCCACUCAUGCUCCUUCCAAAGAUUUCUGCAUGGUCAAGGACUAAGUGGAAACUGUGCAAUAACCGAUAGCAUGUGCUCACACAAACAGGCCCUACAUGGAUCAAAAUUUACUGUGUACUGAACGUUAAAAAUAUUCAGGGGAAUGCAACCCCUAGCAUUGCUGCACAUUAAGUGCAUUCCCUGUAUAUUAUUCUUAGCUGAAAACUACACUUGUAAAACUUAACAACACAACUCUUUUGCUGCUUAUCCACUCUCACAAGGCACAACAUGAUAUGGGCACAAUGCUUCUUUCUCCUUAUUCAUGUUUACCCACUAUUUUCCAACCCUGAUGUGGAGGAUUAUCUUUGUGCAACAAUCUGCAACUUAUGCUUUUCCAUGCCCAGUUAGUGGUCAGUCCUUCUGCUUGUAUUUCCCUCAAGAGUGAUGGUUAUGGUCUUGCUAGUCAUUACGGGGACACUUGUCUCAAUUAAAACAAAUCAGAACCAGGAAGCAAUUUUACAUGGAUUCUCUCUACAGUUCACUGCCCAAUUUCUAGAAUCAAAUUGUGUUUCAGAAAUAAGUGCUGUGGGUGUGAAAAAUUGUUUCAGAACAAGAAAGUAAGCAAGAGCUGGGAGUGAUUGUUAUGCAUCUAUGUCCAAGAAACCAAGGAAACAAGAACCCAUGACUUAUAAAGACAAAGAAAGGAGACUGAGAACUGGAUUCCAAUUCUGAAGAUGAGGAAAGCCAGUAUGCUAAUAAAGCCACUGGGAUUUCUUGCUAAUAAAACCAAUAGGGGAUCUUUAACACUUCAGAUCCAUGAUUACAUAAAAAAGAAGAAAGAAAAGUCUACUUUAUAUUAACCACAGCAAAAUGAAAUGUACUGGAAGUGCUUAGAUCGUAGACAGCCAUCAAACUAUACAGAUAGGGUAAAUUCUGAGAAACAAAACCUUCCGGGCACCUAUAGGAGAAAUGGCAACAUAGUACAGAUAAGGUAAAACAAACUUAUUUAGAUAUAAGAAGGCUCAGGUAUGUCCUGAUGAUACAAAGUACUGGCAUCACAUCCCAUGACUCAGUGAUCAUAACGUCCUUGAAAAAUAUAUUGAAAAAGAAACCACACAAGCAUUUCGGACAGCUAUUGCAGAGUCUCUACAUGCUUGUGCUUUGCUACAGAACAGUCUGAUCCCCUGCACUGACAUAGCAUGAGAGCAAAUCCCAAACGUAAAGUUAAUCUCACAGCAUAGCCAGAUUGAGUUUCCAAUUCUCUAAUGCCUAACUUGAGGGUUGUUCUGCUCAGCUCUGGAAGAGGCGAGGGCAAAGAGACUUUAACUUGUUUGACAUCUUGAACAUCAUUUAAGCAAGAUGCUCUGAAAAGGACCUUACUGGCUACUGACAGCUACAAAGGACCCACGGUAUCCUCCUUUGUACUCAUCCUUCCUAUAAAAUAUUGCUAUCAUGUUUUUCCCUGUCUAAAUGGCCUGGACAGAAAGGGUGUCCAAGGUCCAAAUGACUUCAGCCAUGUCUUUGAGCAUGUGGUAAAAUCUGGCCUUAAAAUAGAAAGGAGAUGGAUUACUGUACGCUUUAAAGAAAGCAUCUGUCUACUAUAAAGACACAUUUAUGGUUUCCUCAUAUUUAUGGCUUUCCUCAAGACAAGGCCAGCAAGCUAGAAAAACUGUAAGGUAGUGAUAUUACACAAUAAUUUCUUCAACAAGAUGAUCUUAGCCUUGGUCUGUUUGGAAAACAAUCAGCUAAUUGUACAUCUCUUUACACUGACUCCAACACCCCCAUUUCGGGUCUUGUUACACAGAUGUGCAACAGUUGAAUCGGAACUACCCCAGUCAGCGUAUUUUUUCCUGUUUGACAAGUCUUGGUAAGAAGAGCACUACUGGUCUAGUAAGAGGCUCAUUUUCUGCAGGUUAACAAAACACUAACUCCUAUUCUUUGCCAACAUCAGCUGAUGUGAGUUUAUUAAAAGCUAACAGGCAUGACUAUCUAAGUGCUGAGCCCACAGAACAGAUUUUAUUUAUACACAUAUGGUUGCUUCUAAUAUUCUCAUUGGACAUGUGCAUGCAAGAUAUAAAAGUCAGGUGAAGUCAGUGGAAUUAUGCCAAUGCACAAACCUGGACGAAUCCAAUACAAACAGUGAAGAUUAAAUAAAUGUUGUGGGUCAUUCGAACACCUUGGAGGCCUUAGCUGUCUUUUCAGUCCACCCGCAUAGAUAUAGGAAAUAGCUAGCAAAACUUUUAUCAUCAUUCUCAGACAGAAUUAAUAAACAGGUAAGCCCACUGAUUUCCCAACACACCGCCUUCCACCAGUGGCCGAACAGAAGGCCAUGCUUUGUGUCAUUUCAUUAGUCUGGUAUUCUGUUACCUACUUUUAGAAAAAUAAUAUGGUAACAUCUUUACCUAUUGGAUUUCUGAGAUGGUCGUCUCCAACUUCAGUGAUUCUGUGCCAGAUACUCAGCUAACGUACAUGGUUGCAGUUCUGUUACUGUCAAUGUAUCACACUGACCUACUGCAGCUGCCUUUCCCCGUCAUUAAAAGUUAGCAAGAAAUUCCAAAUCUGAACAUUUGUGUGCUGGAUGACAUUUACAUUGGCACACUCUAAGUCUGCACAAAAGGACAGCACCAAACAGAAGACACUGCUUUUGUAUCCUAUUACCUCCAGUAUCCACAACUCAUUUCUGAAUGGGUAAUAACCAAUUGCAAGAGCCAUAAUAGCCUUUAUCAUUUCAAUAUGUGUCAUCUACAGGCAAACUGUGUGUCAGAUUCCUGUUUGGGCUCUGAUCCAGCAAAGUACUUCAGCAGAUGGGCAGCCCUGCUUGUCUUCAACUGAACUUCUGGCCUACUUGAAAGUUAAAUGAUGUACCUAAGAGCUUGACUGGAUCAGGGCACUGGAGUAAACUGGUGUCACUGCUCUGAAAUCCUGGAGUAAUGCUGACUUACAUUAACUGAGAAUAUUGCAUUAUGAUUACGGACUACAAUCAUCUGUCAUUUGAGCAGCUAUAUGACCUGCUACAACAAACUUUGACAUUUUCUUAGACAAGUUUUUACCUGUAAUAAUUUCAAGUGAUAUAAAACAGCUACAAAUCAUCUAAGGUGACAAUUAACCAAACACUACUGUACAGCAUGUACUGAUCUGAUAAUUCAUCAAAUGUAUGACAACAUAUAGCACUAGAUGUAGCACUCCACCAAGAACAUUUAACAGCCACGGAAUUAUUUCUCUGAACUCCAGUAUAACAAGCAGCCAGCAGGAUGAUAUCAAACAAGGGCAGCCCCGCUUCUCCUAAAAGGACCUUGGGGACUCCAAGGAGAUUUGUGUAGCUGUACUUCAACAGCACAGCAAUGUGGAAAUGUUAAAGUUAGUAAAGCAAACAGUCCUCAAAUGAGAAGGGCAACAGAUGUCAACCAGUAUCACAUGUCCGUAAACAGCAACAAGACAGAGGGUACUUUUCUUAGUGCUUUUGUGAAAGCAUCAUGCUCUCAGCUCCAGCCGCAUCUCAGCUGUUUGUCCCUAAGUGGUGGUGCUUCUAUGUGUGAUUUAACGCCCACCAAGAGUGGACUUCCAACCACACAUAAAUACCGUCCACUGAAGUCAGCUGAAAGAAAGUAGAAAUGUUUUCAUAUAUUUAUUGUGGCUUUUGAAAAGUGAAAAAGAAAAAAAAUCAUACUGAAUGCUCUCAAACCCAUUGAAAGCUCAUUGUGUGCUUGGCAGAGACAGACAAGCAUUUAUAUUUCUCAGCUUUAAUACAGAAGGAUCAUCCUUAGGGCAAAAGAGUAGCUCUGAUUCAUCCACUUCUUACCCUUACUGCUAAGACUUCUUGACACAAAGGCCAAAAUAUGCUAACUAAAAAGGCACUCUUUGUACCAUAAACACUACACCACAAGGAACUGGACAGUGGCCAUCAAAUCACUGCCUUUUAAUUUUUCCCUCUCAUCUAUAUUUCUAUAAAGAUUUCUGGUAAGAAGGCAGCUGACUCUAUACAAAAGCCAGAGGCAUUGCCAGCAUCUUGGUGGUUUCAUGCAUGCUGUAUUGAAUCUAAACUUUUCGAUGCAAGCAAAAAAAAAAAAACAACAACAAAAAAAAAACCACCCCAAACCAUUUCAAUUAGGCAAAGAUGUAUUUCAGUGUCAAAACACCAUGGAGAGAGGUAAAGGAAUGGAGUUCUACUGCUGAAUCACUGCUUUGAAUCCAAGCCUGGCUGCAAACAUUGAACACAAUGACCACAGUCACUGAACAUCUUAGCUGUUUAUGUGGACAACAGCCUGGUUCUCGGCAAGCUGUACUGUCUGCAUCACAAACUGUCCAUGACAUUAUUUGAUAGCUUUGCUGACAGUCAGAAGUGAGAACACACAAAAUGAAUGGACUGUGAAGAUUCAGUUCUUUUCAGCACCAGAACACUGUCUCUAACAAUAGCUAUAUCAACUAUGCACAGAAAUUUCAAGUAAUUUUUUUUAUGGAGCACAUGCCCUUUCAAUAGAGACUGAUGAUGAACAUAUCCAGAAAGGAAUUUAAAAGAAUCACUGACAUAAAGAGGCCAUACCCAGCCAAUAUACUACAAAGAAAAGCAAAAGCCAACGCCCAGCCUUGCCCAAGAAUGGCCUCCACUGAACCAUGGACUCAAAGCAUAGAUGCACAAACUUGGAGCUUCUAAAGAAAAGGAAGACAAGAUCACAGCACGUUAACACGCUAUUUGCAGACCGCAUGGUACCUAAGAACAACCACCUCCUUCCUCUGACUUAACAAAAUACCCAGAUUAAGAAAAUAGGAGAAAAACAUCCCAAUGUAACACAAAGUUCCUUAGUAAAAGGUGCAUUAAUUGGGUAAGGCAAGCCAACAAAAUGAUUAAUUUGCUGCUCCCCUUCAUUAUUAUGUUUACACAAGUUGAUUAUAGCACUUAAUUACUAAUUUACCCUGCUCAAAAACAAGAGUGCCUUACAUUUUUAAUGAGAUGAAGGAAGGCAAUAUUAUCUAAUUCAACAGGGAGAAGUCAUUUCAUUUCCUCUUUUGAUUUCCCAAGGUAUUACCAUUUCUAAGGAAAAAAGCUAUUCUCUCCCUGAUCUUUCACUUGGUUCUUCCUUUUGAAAAUAUGGAAAUCAACUAGAACACUUGUAUUAAUUUCAAUCCAUGACCUUACGGGUAAUGCUUUGGAAGAGGAGUAGAGGAUCAGAUCAUCAACUGAAGUAUGUCCACUGACAUAAGUGGAGCUACACGAAAUUACAGAGACAGCCUGGUCCAGAAAUGAGAAUAGCCCCAUCUUGCUAGUUCUGUCAGCAAAAAGUUGAGCAGGUCCAAUUACUACUUAUGUGUCUUCUUAAGAAAUGCUGUCAAUUCACUAUUGGCAGUUGGUCCAUUACCAAAGCUGUGGAGUAAACGUAUUGUACUAAAAAGAACCAACUUCUAGCUCAAUGUUUUACACCAAAAAUGAAUGCAGAAAGUUACCAGUGAAAAGUAUUUUAGCAAACCAUAUGAAGUUCUGCUCUUCCAUAUUAACUGGUAAGAAUGACCCACAUUAGAUACCAACACCAAAAUAAAUUUCGCAGUUUAGUUUCAUACUAGCAAUUUUAUUAAUUGCUUUAAUAUGCAAUUAAGGAAUAGUCAGUGGAGUGCAGAAUUUUAUAAGGCAAUAAUCCUGUUCCCUGGUGUACAGCUUCGUCCCACAGUCGGUUAUCCAAAAAAAAAAAAAAAAAGAAAAAAGAAAAGAGAAGAGCUGGACGAUUGCCAAAUCAAACAGCACCUUCUUCCCAUUUUCAAUUACAUACAAGUGAAGCAGAUUAAUGAGGAUAUAGUGGAAACUUUGACAUUUAUUUAUUGAACAUUUUUACUGAGAAGGAAUUGCUGGCUUGCUAUACCGGAAACUAUAUUUUUACUACAGAAACAAUCACAUAGAAAAAAACCAGGAUCCUGCUGCUCCACAUGGAAGGAAUGGCGAGAACCAAUAAAUUGACCCAUCUAAGCCAGAAACAGUAAGGUCAUUUCAUUGAAUGGGGCACAUGUUUUAAAAAUCCCCCAAACUACGGUAUAGACUUCAAAAAUCCUUAUGUCAUAUGAUUUUUACACAGCACUAUCUUCUGUGUCAGCGCUGACCCAGGCAGGCUGUGCUCCAAUUCACAGGAACAAUAAUCAAGGUAUUACAAAACCUCUAAAAAGAAAAAGCUGUAGCAGUGAAUGAAAAGAUAAACCAAAUUGCAGAUUUUCUCCUUUUCCCGGAGAUUCUGGAGACUAAAUAACCAAAAGAUAAAAUGGGAAAUAACUCUCACCACACCGCGCAUGGCUUUUUCCUUUUUGGAUAGACCAAUUGUUUUAAUUCUCUUUUACCACAGAGGAGAAAAAUGCAGAGAGUAAAUGAAGAGGAAAACAGAGAAGUCAACAUUCUUUGAAGGAACGACAUAUGGUGACCAGGCAUGAGAGAUGGAGGUUAUAAAUCUUUCCUUGAUAGAAUUACCUAAAGAUGAAAUUGCAGCUCCAAGGGGCUCGAGCUCCUAAAACCACACACAUCCAGCAGAUUAACCUCCAUGGCUACAGAUUUUACGUUGUCUUUCAUUUCCAACUUGUUUUUUUUUUCUCCUGCAAAGGCUCAGCAUACUGAGAAUUCUGUGACAAAUACAGAUGUGGUGAACAAAAAGCAUGAAAAUCUUUUCUGUCCAAAUCACUCGAGAAGAUAAAAGAAAUAAGGAAUAUAAGGAAAUAAUGCAUCCUGUAAAUGGCCACUGCUGUAUUACAGAAAAGGGAAGGAGCUGGGAGGUGCACUGAGACUUGUUCUCUUCUGAGAAGAAACUCAUUUAGGGAAAAGCAUACUUGUGUUCCAGCCAUUAUAAUCAGUUGCCCAAGAAAGGGAAGUGUGAACAUCCAAUUGCUUCACAAACGUGCUGACUGGGUUCACCAUGCAGCAAUUGUAGGUAAAUCAUUCCCUGUUCCUGGAGCAAUCAUCCCCCAAAGUUUCUCUGCAGCAACUUCCCCCUUUCCAAAUCCCAGUGAUGGAAUGUCACAGGACUAAGGAUCAAGACAGUACGGGACAAAGAGAGCAACAGCAACCACCACAACCACCUACUUUACCCCUAAGGAAACAACAGGCAAUGCCAAUCCAUUUCCCAACCGUUAAUCUAAAAGUCUAACACUAAUUACAGUAUACGGUUACCAUAUGAUUCUCACUCUAUACUGUUUCUCCUUACCACAGACCUUCUCUGUGUACCAAAUUUUCUGAGCAAACAGCAGAUGACCGGAGCAGUGGCUCUGCCUUGAUGCCCCAUGGUCCCAGAACACCCACAGCACCAGAACGCAUGAGCAGGGCAGCUCUAACACCUGAUGUACAUUGCAGUCCCAAAGCUUUCGUGUACAGACACAACCCAAGAUCAGCCCUGCUCCACAGGCUCACCAGCUCCCUGAAGCAUCACUCCCAGCACCACUGCUACUAAUGCUUGGCAUUGGUGUGCUUUACCUGUCUGCUUGGUAGUCAACAGACCUCGUUGAAUCCACAUUAAGAUUACCAGAAGUGAUUUUGAUGGACCUUGGUUUUGGGUGCUAUUUCCAAGCUUACCUAAAAAUGCCCGGAUUUUAGAGAAUAGAGAACAGCAAAGCCAGGAAAACCUGAUUGCUUUUCAGCAUUUUGCUUUUGACAUGUCCAAAAAUCAUUCUGAGAAACGUGACCAAGAUCACUAGGACAAAUAUAGUAAAAAUUCCCCUUCAAACAAACACAGUCAUAAAGAAAAAGGCUAUUGCUGAAAAAAACUCAAAGGGUUGGUUGGUUGGUGUUGUUUGGGUUUUUUGGUGUUUUUUUAAUUUUUUUUUUUUUUUUUUUUUAGUUUUUUUCUCCUUUACUGUUGUACUGAGCAAACAAACAGUUUUGGAAAACUCAAUAACUAAGUAGAAAACAUCUAUCAGAGGACAAAUCAUAACUUCUGUUUUUUUCAAAAACUACAGUGACAUUGAAUAUUUGCAGCAGCACCUCUAUGAAAGGUUUUGCUUUGCAAAAACUGUUAGAAAAAUAAGAGGAGGUUAUCGAACUGCAAUGUGAGAUACCCAUUUACACCACCCUCCCUAAAAAGACAUUUAUAUUCUUAAUACUGUUCCUGAUCUCAAGUACCUGAAUUCUUUGGGAAAUAUUUCAACGUAAUUGAAAACAUCUGCUGCACGAUACAGCUGAUAUUGCCAUUGGUGUCACCUCUUUCACAACUAUCUUCUGAACAGACGCUAAGACAAAACACAGAGAGUGGCUUCUUCCCACUGCAGGUUUGGUGUCUUGGAUAGAGCCUCUCCUGGCUCCCAGCAAUCACCACUGGCAGUGGGCUGGAAAGAAACAUGUCACAAAUGUCCAGUGGGAUGAAUAACAACAGUCAUUUCCAAACUGCUUUCUCCUUUUCUGUUCCAGGGGGAUCCCAAGGAAUUGCCUGGGGCUGACCUGCAACUCAGUGAAACAAAGAAGUACAUUCAACCGACUCAAAGGUGUGCCAAGAUGCCCAGCACACACAGGCUAAAGGAGAUCAGAAGCACAGAGGCCUCCUCUGGUUGUGUGCCACAAACCCAGGAUCUUCCAUCCAUCAGUAGUUGUACAAAACCAAACGGAACAUCGUGCAGGAGCAGGGAUCCAGAGAUUGCCCUCUAAACCGUAUGAAAGGCUAAAUCACAGUUUGACUGUUGGGAAGAAAAAGAAAAGAAAGCUUCACUCGUCCACAAAUCUAUCAGACAGACAUCUGUGUUGCUUGACCGCUCUUGCAGGAAUCAGCUGUUUGUACCACCCUGACAGAAGACUGCACAAAAGAAGCUGGAGCUCAGCCAGAUACGUUAACACCCAGAUCACCUUGGCAUUAUGCUUUUCUCACAGCUUUUCCUUGUCUGUACAAGAUGUGAGUGUGAGUGAUUGGCAAAAUCCUUCAAACUGCUGCCAGUUCCAGUUUGUACCAAGCCUGUGCUGGACACAGUGUUACAGCAUGAGCUCCCUGGAGCUUUUUCUACCCAAUUCCAUGUGAAGAUAUCAGUAGCAGCUGGGUCUGGUUUGCAGCGCUAGGCACAAGCUAAUAAAAACGAACAAUGCUGAAAGUGGAGAAUAAGAAUCAAACACAAGUUUGCUCAGGAUUAUAUGUUCUUAUUAAGGACAAAAUUUCAGAACGCAACAAGAGUUUGGUACUCAAUCUGUUCAGGAAUCUAGAAGAUGUCAGUCUGAAUCUUUGAGGGAAAAAAUGUAAAAAUUUUCCAUUUCUAAACCUGAAAUAAGGCUAUAAAAAUAUACAGGUAUAGAAAACUGUCAAAUACUACGAUUAUGUUCUGCUUGAAUGGUCCCAGAAGAGCUGACAGAUGAUGUGUGUCACUUCAUUGCUUUUUUUGUUUUUCAGAAGCCACGUCUUUAGAUGGGGAAAUGGCAUUGAGAAGCAAAGGAAAAGAAAUUCUGUCCUAAAAUAUACCUCUUAGCAAAGCACCAAUGAGCAUGUAAUCUUUGAUGCCAAACAUACUUUUUUCAUCAGGAGAUUUGGAACUGUGAUACCAGGAAGCUAAGUAUUUAGACUUAAAAGCAUAAAUGAUGCUACUUCUUUGAUCUCCUACUCUAGUCUACACAGACUGGAUUUCACCAUUUCAUGAUGGCUAGAUGUCAGACCCACACAAUAAAGAGAUUGAACACCAAA